rnacentral:rRNA from 1 species
GACGAACGCUGGCGGCGUGCUUAACACAUGCAAGUCGAACGGUAAGGCCCUUCGGGGUACACGAGUGGCGAACGGGUGAGUAACACGUGGGUGAUCUGCCCUGCACUUUGGGAUAAGCCUGGGAAGCUGGGUCUAAUACCGGAUAGGACCACGGCCUGCAUGGGUUGUGGUGGAAAGCUUUUGCGGUGUGGGAUGGGCCCGCGGCCUAUCAGCUUGUUGGUGGGGUGAUGGGCUACCAAGGCGACGACGGGUAGCCGGCCUGAGAGGGUGUCCGGCCACACUGGGACUGAGAUACGGCCGAGACUCCUACGGGAGGCAGCAGUGGGGAAUAUUGCACAAUGGGCGCAAGCCUGAUGCAGCGACGCCGCGUGGGGGAUGACGGCCUUCGGGUUGUAAACCUCUUGCACCAGGGACGAAGCGCAAGUGACGGUACCUGGAGAAGAAGCACCGGCCAACUACGUGCCAGCCGCCGCCGUAA